AUGGUCACAACAGUCAUAAAAGUAACAACAUUAACAACAGUCACGUCAGUCACAACAUUAACAACAGUAACAACAGUCACAACAGUCACAGCAGUCAUAAAAGUAACAACAAUUACAACAUUAACAACAGUCACAACAUUAACAACAGGCACAACAUUAACAACAGUCACAACAGUUACAACAGUCACAACAUUAACAACAGUCACAACAGUAACAACAAUUACAUUAGUCAUAACAUUAACAACAGUCACAACAGUCACAACACUCACAACAGUCACAACUGUCACAACUGUAACAACAGUCACAACAGUUACAACCGUUACAACAGUAACAGCAGUCACAACUGUAACAACAGUCACAACAGUAACAACAGUCACAACAUUAACAACAGUCACAACAGUCACAACAGUUACACCAGUCACAACAGUAGCAACAGUCACAACAUUAACAACAGUAACAACAGUCACAACAUUAACAACAGUCACAACAGUCACAACAGUUACACCAGUCACAACAGUAACAACAGUCACAACAUUAACAACAGUUACACCAGUCACAACUGUAACAACAGUCACAACAGUCACAACUGUAACAACAGUCACAACAGUAACAACAGUCACAACAUUAACAACAGUCACAACAGUCACAACAGUUACACCAGUCACAACAGUAACAACAGUCACAACAUUAACAACAGUAACAACAGUCACAACAUUAACAACAGUCACAACAGUCACAACAGUUACACCAGUCACAACAGUAACAACAGUCACAACAUUAACAACAGUUACACCAGUCACAACUGUAACAACAGUCACAACAGUCACAACUGUAACAACAGUCACAACAGUUACAACCGUUACAACAGUAACAGCAGUCACAACUGUAACAACAGUCACAACAUUAACAACAGUCACAACAGUCACAACAGUUACACCAGUCACAACAGUUACAACCGUUACAACAGUAACAGCAGUCACAACUGUAACAACAGUCACAACAUUAACAACAGUCACAACAUUAACAACAGUAACAACAGUCACAACCGUUACAACAGUAACAGCAGUCACAACUGUAACAACAGUAACAGCAGUCACAACUGUAACAACAGUAACAACAGUAACAACAGUCACAACUGUAACAACAGUCACAACAGUUACAACCGUUACAUCAGUAACAGCAGUCACAACUGUAACAACAGUCACAACAUUAACAACAGUCACAACAGUCACAACAGUUACACCAGUCACAACAGUAACAACAGUCACAACUGUAACAACAGUCACAACAUUAACAACAUUGACAACAGUAACAACAUUAACAACAGUCACAACAGUCACAACUGUUACAACAUUAACAACAUUAACAACAGUAACAACAAUAAUAACAGUCACAACAGUCACAACAUUAACAACAGUUACGGCAGUCACAACAUUAACAACAUUAACAACAUUAACAACAAUCACAACAGUCACAACAGUAACAACAGUCACAACAGGUCGACUCAAACCCGACUGUGUUUCUGUUUCAGAUAACUUUCUGUGUCCGUGUUGUCAUAGUGGGUACUUCCCAGCGUCUCUGAUAAUCACUCCCACAUUGUCGACCUGCGGGCUGCAUGUUGUUGUUGUUUUGUUCGUUGGAACUAAUCAGGAAACACAUUUGCAAGUUUCUGUAUAA
ensembl:lncRNA